UUUCCCUCAGGAUAGCUGGCACUCGCUUGAGCGAGUCUCAUCUGGUAAAGCGAAUGAUUAGAGGCCUUGGGGCCGAAACGACCUCAACCUAUUCUCAAACUUUAAAUGGGUGAGAUCUCUGGCUUGCUUGAACGUUGAAGCCACGAGAUAUAUAUUCAUAUACGGAUCAGAGUGCCAAGUGGGCCAAUUUUGGUAAGCAGAACUGGCGCUGUGGGA
rnacentral:rRNA from 1 species